UACGGAGGAGGCAAGCGUUAUCCGGAAUUAUUGGGCGUAAAGCGUCCGCAGGUGGCUAUUCAAGUCUGCGGUCAAAGACUGGGGCUUAACCCUGGAAAGGCCGUGGAAACUGAAGAGCUAGAGUGCAGUAGGGGUAGAGGGAAUUCCCGGUGUAGCGGUGAAAUGCGUAGAGCUCGGGAAGAACAUCGAUGGCGAAAGCGCUCUGCUGGACUGCAACUGACACUCAGGGACGAAAGCUAGGGGAGCGAAUGGG
rnacentral:rRNA from 1 species